rnacentral:sRNA from 1 species
UGACUAGCUCGACGUCGAGCUCCUUCGGU